UAAUGACACAUAGUGCGAAGAUUCGUAGC
rnacentral:sRNA from 1 species